rnacentral:lncRNA from 1 species
GGGGAUACUGACGAUUGUAUUGUUAAACAAUAGUUCUUUUGAAUAAUGUAGUGCAUGUCUUGAUACUGACUGUUAUUUGAUAUAUAUAGUUGUUUUUUUCUAUUUUGUUUUGGCUCCGAUUGUGACUGAGGCUUAUGGUGCUAUCAUAUUAUAUCAUAUUAUUAUUGUUGUAAAGUCUUUAUGUUGAUCCAAUCAUUAUACCGC